AUUCUAGUUUCUUGGGUACUCCCAGUGACUGUAACAGUAUCUGUCGACAAUGAAGAGGACCUCAAAGCACAAGUGGAGUUUCAAGGCGGGAUGAACAUCCAUAAAAGGACAGAAUUAAAAUGACGCCCUGUGAGAGAAGAUGAGAGAGCUGUUUUAGACAUUCAGAGUUGAUGAAGAAAAAUAGAUGGAACACCAGAAGAAAAAGAGGGGGAGUUACAUUUCUGCAAUAUGCAAGGCCUUCCCCUUCAAAAUAACAAACAAUAUUGUCUGUCUGCCCGGGUCAAAGGUCAGGAGACAAUCACAGCCAGAUCUGGAGCACCUGUGCCAAGAAUAAAAAGUCCCAGCUUUCCUGCUGCUGGCACCCACAGAUGUUUGCUAUGUUUGGUAUUGUAUAUGUUACACUACAUGAUCCACAAACACACACGAACACCACUGAUGCCACUGACUUGCAUACCUCAUAUCAUUGUUACUCUUGUUUAUUUACGUUAGCUAUAAUAAAUAGCUUAAUUUUG